rnacentral:rRNA from 1 species
GAUGAACGCUGGCGGCGUGCCUAAUACAUGCAAGUCGAGCGAACAGACGAGGAGCUUUCUCCUCUCACGUUUGCGGGGGGCGGGGGAGUAACACGUGUAUAACACCCCUAUCAUACUGGGAUAACUUCGUUAAACCCGCUCUACUACCGCGUAACACAUUGACCCUCAGGGUUCAGAAAUUAAAGCGUUGUUUCUCGUAACACUUAGAUGGUUCCGCGCCGCAUUAGCUAGUUGGUAAGGUAAAGGCUUACCAAGGCAACGAUGCGUAGCCGACCUGAGAGGGUGAUCGGCCACACUGGAACUGAGACACGGUCCAGACUCCUACGGGAGGCAGCAGUAGGGAAUCUUCCGCAAUGGGCGAAAGCCUGACGGAGCAACGCCGCGUGAGUGAUGAAGGUCUUCGGAUCGUAAAACUCUGUUAUUAGGGAAGAACAAAUGUGUAAGAAACUAUGCACGUCUUGACGGUACCUAAUCAGAAAGCCACGGCUAACUACGUG